rnacentral:ncRNA from 2 species
UUGAAUAAGGAACGCUGCGACAGACACCGAUUCUGCUAGGCUUAUUCAAUGAUGUAGCAUAAAACGGCGUUCAUUAUUA